UACGAAGGGGGCUAGCGUUGUUCGGAAUUACUGGGCGUAAAGCGUAUGCAGGCGGCUCUUUAAGUCCGGGGUGAAAUCCCGAGGCUCAACCUCGGAACUGCCUCUGAUACUGGGGGUCUUGAGCCCGGGAGAGGUUAGUGGAACUGCGAGUGUAGAGGUGAAAUUCGUAGAUAUUCGCAAGAACACCAGUGGCGAAGGCGGCUAACUGGCCCGGUACUGACGCUGAGAUACGAAAGCGUGGGGAGCAAACAGG
rnacentral:rRNA from 1 species